rnacentral:tRNA from 1 species
GGAGCUGGAGCUCAGGGGUAGAGCACUUGCCUUGUAUGCAUGAGGCCCCAAGUUUGAUCUUCAGCACCA